CCGCCACAACGGCUUCCUGGCGUGGCGGGGAUUCACCCAACGGAGCA
rnacentral:ncRNA from 1 species